rnacentral:lncRNA from 1 species
CUGUUCGUUUUCCAGCGAGGCGAGGCACCGAGCUCCGCCGGAAGUCCCUCUGCUGCUCUGCGUCGCGCCGCUGCUCUGCUUCCCGGAGAACCUCGACGAGAGCCUCGCUCGCGCCCCCUUUGUCCCGUGGCCAAGACCCGUAAGCGGACUGUCAAGCAUCGCCUCCGGGGUUUUGCGUCAAGUACCCCACCGGCAAGACCGACACCCGUACCAGUACACCGGCGAUGUGGAUUUCGUCAAGUCCUUCGACGACCAACGCUUAGUACCACUACGUUUGCCAUGUACAUCUACACCAAGACCGGACAGACAAGUACCCCGACAACAAGUGUACCUCUACCGUCGAUCCCGUGGACGUCAAGUACCUCUACCGACGACCCCGAACAUUUACGAAAACGUGUACCACUACCGUCGCCGUGUACCACUACUUCCCUCGGCGACCCGUGAACAACUACUCCCACUACCGUCGAACCCGAGCCACUCCGAAAAUGCACGCUUCGAAGGUAUAACCGCCGAGACGACGCCCGUGAACGAAUGAUUGUGAUGUAUGAGUUGCUCGUGUUCGAACCGUGUCCCAGUUGUCGCUUGCGCGUUCCUCGUUUCCUUGCCACCGUCUUGUGGGACACCCGGUAACCGGGAUCACCCCACCAUCUUGCAUGACAUGCUCACGCCACACUUCCUUUUGCACCGGUAUCUCCGUGAACUACCGGAACCGAUAUGUUGCCGUGGCAUCAUUUUCGGAUUCGUUGCCGUGGAACCCUUUUUCAUUCCACCACGGUAACAAAUGCUUCAUAACAUGCUCUUGUCCUCGUUUUAUAAAAUUGCUUAAACUUGCAUAUGUCAUUCGCAUCAUGAUAACAACAUUUAAAUGUUUAAAAUUGUGUUUGCAUUUAAAUUGCUAAAUGACAUGAGGAUUUUCCGGAAUUAUUGUUUGUUGUUCCGGCCUCAUUUAAACUUGCCUAAAUAGGUAGUUUCCAUAUGCUUCACCUCUUUCCAUGGUUAAUAACAUUUAAUAUUGUUGGUUCCAUAAACGAGAGAGAACUAAAUAAUUAAAUGUGGUGUUUCUUCAAUAUGCAACUCAUUGCAUAUUGAGCUUCACUUAACUUGUAGUAUUGUUUGUUGCACUUUGCCAUGCCAUGCAUAUUUAAACCGGACAUGCAUCAUACUUGUUUGUGCAUCAUGCCAUGUGUAUGUGGUGGUUGUUUACUAUGCUGUUUGUUUCUUUCCGGGUUGCUUCUCUCGUUAGCUUCGGUUUCGUUCCGGAGUUGUGAGGAUUCGUUCGACUACAUCCGUUUGUCUUCUUCAUGGACUCGUUCUUCUUCCUUGCGGGAUUUCAGGCAAGAUGACCACCCCUCGAAAUCACUUCUAUCUUUGCUUUGCUAGUUGCUCGUUCUAUUGCCAAGUUGCGCUACCUACCACUUGCUAUAUCAAGCCUCCCAAAUUGCCAUGAACCUCUAACCUUUGUCACCCUUCCUAGCAAACCAUUGUUUGGCUAUGUUACCGCUUUUGCUCAGCCCCUCUUAUAGCGUUGCUAGUUGCAGGAGAAGUUGAAGAUUGCUCCAUGUUGGAUUCUAUUUAUGUUGGGAUAUCACAAUAUCUCUUAUCUUAUUUAAUGCAUCUAUAUACUUGGUAAAGGGUGGAAGGCUCAGCCUUAUGCCUGGUGUUUUGUUCCACUCUUGCCGCCCUAGUUUCCGUCAUACCGGUGUUAUGUUCCUUGAUUUUGCGUUCCUUACGCGGUUGGGUGAUUUAUGGGACCCCCUUUACAGUUCGCCUUGAAUAAAACUCCUCCAGCAAGGCCCAACCUUGGUUUUACCAUUUGCCUACCUAAGCCUUUUUCCCUUGGGUUCUGCAGACUCAAGGGUCAUCUUUAUUUUAAACCCCCGGGCCAGUGUUCCUCUGAGUGCUGGUCCAAACUAGAGCCACUUGCAGCGCCACCUCGGGGAAACUCGAGGUCUGGUUUUAGUUGUACGUAGUGCUCAUCCGGUGUGCCCUGAGAACGAGAUAUGUGCAGCUCCUAUCGGGAUUUGUCGGCACAUUCGGGCGGCUUUGCUGGUCUUGUUUUACCAUUGUCGAAAUGUCUUGUAAACCGGGAUUCCGAGUCUGAUCGGGUCUUCCUGGGAGAAGGUUUAUCCUUCGUUGACCGUGAGAGCUUAUGAUGGGCUAAGUUGGGACACCCCUGCAGGGUAUUAACUUUCGAGAGCCGUGCCCGCGGUUAUGUGGCAGAUGGGAAUUUGUUAAUAUCCGGUUGUAGAGAACUUGACACUUGACCUUAAUUAAAACGCAUCGACCGCGUGUGUAGCCGUGAUGGUCUCUUCUCGGCGAAGUCCGGGAAGUGAACACGGUUUCUGGGUUAUGUUUGACGUGAGUAGGAGUUCAGGAUCACUUCUUGAUCAUUGCUAGCUUCACGACCGUUCCGUUGCUUCUCUUCUCGCUCUCAUCUGCGUAUGUUAGCCACCAUAUAUGCUUAGUGCUUGCUGCAGCUCCACCUCUUUACCCUUUCCUUCCUUUAAGCUUAAAUAGUCUUCAUCUCGCGGGUGUGAGAUUGCUGAGUCCUCGUGACUCACAGAUACUUCCAAACAGUUGCAGGUGCCGAUGAGACCAGUGCAGGUGACGCAACUGAGCUCAAGUGGGAGCUCGAUGAAGAUCUUGUUCGUUGUGUUGUGCUUUUCUCGUUGAUCAGUAGUGGAGCCCAGUUGGGACGAUCAGGGAUCUAGCAGUUGGGUUGUCUUCUUCUCUUUUGGUUCCAUAGUCGGACCUAUGUGUGUAUCUCUGAAUGAUGUAUGUUUUAUUUAUGUAUUGUGUGAAGUGGCGAUUGUAAGCCAACUCUUUAUCCCAUUCUUGUUCAUUACAUGGGAUUGUGUGAAGAUGACCCUUCUUGCGACAAAACCACAAUGCGGUUAUGCCUCUAAGUCGUGCCUCGACACGUGGGAGAUAUAGCCGCAUCGUGGGCGUUACAGCAACCCGGGCCGCUGCAAUGACGAAGAACUCCUUCUUUUGAUUGCUAGAGGCCAUGGUGGGUAUUGUACUAGGAGGAGAUGGAGAGUAGAGGUGAGGUGUGGUUAUAGCCUGGUGCUUGGCCACGUUUAUAUAGCGGUCUAAUACGUUCAUUUUGCAUCAUGUUUUCCUACUGUUAUUUAUAGUUCUUUUUAUCAAUAUAACACUUUGUGGAGCAAUUAUAAUGCCUUUUCUCUCUUAAUAUGCAAGAUUUACAUGAAGAGGGAGAUUGCCGGUAGCUGGAAUUCUUGACCUGAAAAAGCUAUGUCAGAGAUACCUAUUCUGCACUUCUCCAAAUGAGCUGAAAUUUCACGGAGGUUUAUUUUGAAGUAAAUAAAAAUGUUGGAGAAAAGAAAUACCAGAGGGGGGCAUCCAGGUGCCCACGAGGCACCAGGGCGCGCCCUGGUGGCUUGUGGGGCCCCAGUCCAGCCUCUGAUGCACAUCUUCUCGUAUAUAAGCCCAUUUGCCCUAAAAAAAGAAGAGGACUUUCGGGACGGAGUGCCGCCGUCUCGAGGCGGAACUUGGGCAAGGGCACUUUUGCUCUCCGGCAGAGCGAUUCCACCGGGGAUACUUCCCUCCGGGAGGGGGAAAUAGAAGCCAUCGUCAUCACCAACAACCCUCUCAUCGUGGGAGGACCAGUCUUCAUCAACAUCUUCACCAGCACCAUCUCAUCUCAAAUCCUAUUUCAUCUCUUGUAUUCAAUCUUUGUAUCAAAACCUCAGAUUGGUACCUGUGGGUUAGUAGUAGUGUUGAUUACAUCUUGUAGUUGAUGCUAGUUGGUUUAUUUGGCGGAAGAUUAUAUGUGCAGAUACAUUAUGCUAUUCAUACCCCUCUGAUAUUGGACAUGAAUAUGAUGUGUGACUAGUCACUUUUGUUCUUGAGAACAUGGGAGAAGUCUUGUCAUAAGUAAUCAUGUGAAUUUGAUAUUCGUUUGAUACUUUGAUGAUAUGUAUGUUGUUGAUUCCCUUAG